GCCCGGCCCCUCCAACCUCCUCCACCGGCCAGAAUCCCGGUUUCUCGGUCCGGGGAGUGGGAGGAUGGAGGAAGCGAGGGAGGAAGGAGAGAAGGAAAAGGUGAACAGGCGAGCAGGGCGCUGUGCCAGGGAGCAGCAUCCAGGACCGUAAUUGUGGGCAAGGGCGGGGGACGUUCUGGGCGAGUGUGCCCGAGACCAGGCGCGUACACGUGUGUGUGUGUGUGUGUGUGUGUGUGUGUGUGUGUGUGCGCGCGUGUAUGUGUAAGAGAGAGGAGCGGAGCCUACCAUGCGCUUCCCUGGUGCGGAUCGCGGGAGAGCCCAAUCACAGGGCGAGCUGGACCUGGCUGUGAUCAUUUAUAAUCCUUGACUCCUCCGCUCAGCCACUUGUCAAGAUGACAGCCACAAAGACCUGACUGUCAGGCUCAGACUGAGUUUCUGCAGCUCUGUCACCUCUUCCACUAAAGGGAUUCCAGACACUGAAGAGCUGGCAGACAUGACAUUGACAGCUAUAGUUCAGACACUAGAGCAACCAACCCGUCUUUUGAAAAGCUCAGGAGUUAAGGAAGGCAAUAAGAAUAGAGGAGGCAUGAACACACAAGAACUUGGGAAGAGAGGAAUGUGAGCUGUGAAAAACCAAGCAGAAGUGUUUCCAUCUCAAUGGCACUAUGAGCUGGAGAAGUCAUAGGAAACCAAAGCACUCAAGAGGAGACACAGCUAUCAAGAACUCCUGUCCACCGGGCAUUGGUGGAAGGAGAUGAAGCCAUUUUUACCAACCUGAACCUUUUUUCCGUGGGGCACUAUACAGCUUAACCUAUGAACUCUGUCGAGCCGUUGAGGGCUCCUAAACAAUUUCUUAGCACGGAGUUCCUCUUUUCAGCAAACCCUGCUUCUCACUGAGUACAGAGUCGAAGCAAUCCUACAGCACUAACAUUUCAAUUGUUGCAUAUGGAGCCCAGUACAUAAAGGACUCCCCAAAGAGAGCGGUUUAUAACUGGAUUAUAGCUGCUCCACACAUUUAACUUUCCAUGAAUAGUUUCUGACGUUUUGAAGCACCCCAAGUCAUAACUUUUCUAUCCACGCAUGUAGGAAAGCAGUCACUGAUUGUGCGUUUCUUCAUUGACCAGAAUACAAACAUGGAUGAGACUGUUAGCACCCAUGGUAUCUGAGGGAGAACUUACAGAAUUUGUUUACCUAUGUUAUAUAUAAGACAAUAGAUUGUAUAUACAAAUAUAGAAAACAUUUCACUUGUUUGUAUGUGCACUAUAUGUAUUUUGAGUGCAGAUCAAGUAUGUAAUGGUCCCACUUAUUAUUAGUUUCAUUUUUUUACAAUUUCAUAACUGUGGCCUAAAAAUAGUAGGUGGAAAAUUUUAGAAGCAAUCCACACAUAUGUGUUAAAUUACACGACAUUUUGAGUACCGGGAUAAAUUCUCAUUCUGUAUUGCUUCUUCUUGCCCAAAAUAUAACUCAUUUCUCUGGUCAGUGCAUCUGCUCUGUAUAUCUUGCCUGCUACCUCCAUGAUCAGAACCAUUUAGGAACAGUGUAGGGUCUGUAUUCAAAUCAACCUGUUAUGCUUAGCAGUGUCUCAGUCAUGAUACUGAAAACUGAAUAUGUUAGAGAAAAAUUGGCUAGUGUCUUCUUCAAGUGAAAUGUAAAGGUCUCCACUUGAGGGGGGUUUUAUAGAGCUAUCAUGUUGUUAAAUCAUAUACUAGGCAUGUUUUAUAAAUUAACCUAUGUUAUAGAUAUGUAUGUACAAGAGAAAAGCAUGGUGCAUAUAGGGGCUGGUAUUAUUUGUGAUUUCUGAUAUUCACUGUAUUCUUGGAACACAGAAUUGUAUACCAUUGGCUUUCCCCAACCCUAAUGUUGUAUGUUUAAUGGAGACUUUGUUCUGUGACUAUUAAUCAAGUUCUGAACUCUACCAAGGAAGCACACACUUAUAUACACUUUCCUUACUAAGAAAAUGUUUCUCAUUUGUUCAAUCCAUUUACAGAUGGAGCUUCAUGGUAUGGGUAUCUGUGGUGUGGCCAAAGAAAAAUAAGGCAAGAAGAGGGAGAAAGAGGUUCUGGUUUAUUAUGGGUGCUAUAAGUAGAUGCCCAAAAUUCCCAAUGGAAAAAAUGCCCCCAGGCACACCACUCAUGGCGACUUCCAAAGUUUGUUCUCAGUAACUGCAUUCACACAAUACAUAAUUUUAACAGAUCCAUUUAUGGCUUUGAAAUGUGAAGUGUCCAAUGAAGAGAAGAAAUACUUAAAAGAGGAAAACUGGAAAAUAUUAAGAGCUGGACGGAGUUACUGAAAAACAGCCAGGUAGUGUGACUUUAGUUAAUAUAAAGGGCAAAUGUCUGGCCAUCUUUCAGUAUUUGCAAGAGCUCUACUCAUUAAGAUGUAUAAGGAUGGUUUUGAAUCAUUAGGAAAAGGUGAAGUUAUGUGUCUAUCUUAGCAUAUUCUGGGAAAAAAAUUAAAACAGUUCCAUUUAGAUUGAGUUCCAUCAAAAUCAUUAAAGUUAGUAAGAGUGAA
rnacentral:lncRNA from 1 species